rnacentral:tRNA from 1 species
GGGCAUAUAGCUCAGCUGGCUAGAGCGCAUGAUUCACAUUCAUGAGGUCGGAGGUUCAAGUCCUCCUAUGCCCACCA